GACGAACGCUGGCGGCGUGCUUAACACAUGCAAGUCGAACGAUGAAGCCGGAGCUUGCUCUGGUGAAUUAGUGGCGAACGGGUGAGUAACACGUGAGUAACCUGCCCUUGACUCUGGGAUAACUGCUAGAAAUGGUAGCUAAUACCGGAUACGACCCUCGGAGGCAUCUUCAGGGGGUGGAAAGAAUUUCGGUCAAGGAUGGACUCGCGGCCUAUCAGCUAGUUGGUGAGGUAAUGGCUCACCAAGGCGACGACGGGUAGCCGGCCUGAGAGGGUGACCGGCCACACUGGGACUGAGCCACGGCCCAGACUCCUACGGGAGGCAGCAGUGGGGAAUAGUGCACAAUGGGCGCAAGCCUGAUGCAGCGACGCCGCGUGAGGGAUGACGGCCUUCGGGUUGUAAACCUCUUUUAGUAGGGAAGAAGCGAAAGUGACGGUACCUGCAGAAAAAGCACCGGCUAACUACGUGCCAGCCGCCGCCGUAA
rnacentral:rRNA from 1 species